CUCUUCUUCGUUCGUUCCCCCAUUAACACUCCCCGAGGCUGAGAGUGCAAUAAUUUCAGUUCGAAAUUAAGCCAUUAAAACGAAACCUUAGUCUGAAUUCUGUAAGUUUUAGGUUUUUAAUUAUGUUUUCGAUUACUCAUUCCGAUCGAUUUGACCUAAAAUCUGAAUGACAAUGAAAAGGUGGUCUCGUCCAGACUCCAGAGUUGAUUCUAGUGAUGAUAAAUUUCAUGGGUUGUCUUCUUCUUUAAUGAGGAGACUAAUUAGGGAGAUUAUGUUGCUCGAGAAGGAGAAAUUAAGUUUGUCUGCUUGAUUUUAGAAGUAAAUCUUUGAUGGUAGAAGUUUAGAACAUUCAAACAUGGGAUAAGAAAGACACUUCUCAGGGGCAAAGUUACCACUGAAGAUAAAUUGAAAGCAAUUCCUGAAGGGUGCCACCGGGUUUGUUGAGAACAAACAUAAACCUGGUUUUCCAGGAAAAACAUGUCGCAUAUAGAAAAUUGCAAGAAGAAAUCAGUCCAACACACUCUUGGGAAACAUUCACUAAAGUGUUAUAACCUUAUAAAAGAUGGAGUGGGUUGUAGAUAGGCGUCCUGGAAGCUGGAUGGAGGGCCAUAAAGGAAAAUAUGGAAUCAUAUGUUCUAGUGCAGCUGAAAAAUAUGAAGAAGUGAAGAGCCCAUGAGAAGAGAAAGAGGCUUGCCGAAGCCGCUGUCAUAUCCAGGUUGGACUUUGAGAACGAUGCAAUAACUGCAGGAAAAUUUGUGGGCGAUUCUUGCACAAUGGAAGUAUCUGGCCUCAGAAGGGAAAAUGUUUCUUUCCGUGUUUUUUCUUCACAUUCGUCAAAGAGCCACGCAACAGCAGCAAGGCUUGCAACCACAGUGAGUGCGAACAAAGGAAGCUCAAGUGAUGGACCAAAGCCGAAUGAUGACUGUGUUGUUCGAGAAGAUUAAUAAUCUUUCGAAGAUAUAAAAUGUAUUAAAAGAUGGCAGCGGUAGUAGACGAUGAUGACGGUGUUUCUAGUGUGACAUUACAGCCUGGUGCUUUACGAGAUCUUGAUAUUGAUGUUCAAGUUAGUGGAGGAAUGGAUAUUUCCCUUGGAUGGAAGAGAGUUAGAUUCAAGAUUGACCGACCGUCUAUCAAGCAAUUCUUCAAUUACAAGUGAAGGAGGAAAAUGAUCUAAUUGCAGGAAAAAACUCUGGGCCUAAGUAUAUGGUAUAACAUUUAAGAAGGCUGCCUAAGUAAAGGAAAGUAGCACUGACAACUGCCUUGUUGGAACUCAAGUUUCUGUUAUGCAAAGUUACUCACGGGAGUUUUAUCAGAAUUUCCUGUGUCUCUCUGGUAUGCUGACAGUUGAGCUUCUGUAUAAUCCGGAGAAGGUGGAUCCUGUUUACGAGAUAGUUUUGCCUCUGUAGAUUUGGGAAGUGAUAAACAAGUAAACUUGUACGUCAUUGAUGUCUCAUGAAAGGGUCAAAGCUUUUGCAGAAGGGAGAAGUGAUGACUUAGACAGUUUAGUAACAGUCUGUCCAGUCUCGCAGAGUGAUUUUGUAAGCAGUAAACUGACUGAAAGUCUAGAAAAGAAAAUGGUAAGCCCUUUGACUGCAUCUGCCGGUGCAAUGCCAUCAUGGUGCAGCCAACUAAUGGCUGAAUGCUCCUUUCUAUUUAGUUUUGAAGAAAGGAAUAAAAACUUCUUACUGACAGUACUCCGUUCUCCACUAUUUCAAUCUUCAACAUUUUUUAAACUCUGCUGCACAAAUGAUGGAUGCUUGCGCCCAUCAAAAUGUUUCAGCCGAAAGAGGAAGACAGUGAAGAGGUCAGUACAGGUCUGGGUCCAAUUCUAGAGUUCUAUACUUUGGUUAGUCACAAAUUUCAGAAGUUAGGCUUGGGUAUCUGGAUAAAGGUCGCAGUUUCUCCAGUUCAGGUUAAAAUGUAGAAACCUGACUUUUUGCGUCAUCCAUGGUCAGCUAAGGUGGAAUAGUCAAAUGGGGUUAUGUUUUCUGAGGUGUUAAAGAGAUUUGUCCUUAUGGGGAAGGUUGUUUCCAAGGCACUUCGAGAUAGACCUUCACCUAUCCAAAGCUUUUUAUAAGCUUGCUCUGGAUCAGGUAAAUACCGCCAACUUGGAAAAUUUCGUUGAUCGUGGAUGCCAGUGCCACUAUGAAUUCUGGAAUUUUGAGG